UACGGAGGGGGCUAGCGUUGUUCGGAAUUACUGGGCGUAAAGCGCACGUAGGCGGCUUUGUAAGUUAGAGGUGAAAGCCCGGGGCUCAACUCCGGAGUUGCCUUUAAGACUGCAUCGCUAGAAUUGUGGAGAGGUAAGUGGAAUUCCGAGUGUAGAGGUGAAAUUCGUAGAUAUUAGGAAGAACACCGGUGGCGAAGGCGGCCCACUGGAUCGGUACUGACGCUGAGGUGCGAAAGCGUGGGGAGCAAACAGG
rnacentral:rRNA from 1 species